AUCCAGCUGACUAGUCCGAAAUAGGACGAAACGUGCAUCAAACUGGAU
rfam:Schistosoma curassoni strain Dakar, Senegal genome assembly, scaffold: SCTD_contig0005129